UACGGAGGGAGCUAGCGUUGUUCGGAAUUACUGGGCGUAAAGCGCACGUAGGCGGCUUUGUAAGUUAGAGGUGAAAGCCCGGGGCUCAACUCCGGAACUGCCUUUAAGACUGCAUCGCUUGAAUCCAGGAGAGGUGAGUGGAAUUCCGAGUGUAGAGGUGAAAUUCGUAGAUAUUCGGAAGAACACCAGUGGCGAGGGCGGCUCACUGGACUGGUAUUGACGCUGAAGAGCGAAAGCGUGGGGAGCAAACAGGGAUUAAGAAAC
rnacentral:rRNA from 1 species